rnacentral:rRNA from 1 species
UACGUAGGGCGCAAGCGUUAUCCGGAAUUAUCGGGCGUAAAGAGCUCGUAGGCGGUUUGUCGCGUCUGCCGUGAAAGUCCGGAGCUCAACUCCGGAUCUGCGGUGGGUACAGGCAGACUAGAGUGAUGUAGGGGAGACUGGAAUUCCUGGUGUAGCGGUGAAAUGCGCAGAUAUCAGGAGGAACACCGAUGGCGAAGGCAGGUCUCUGGGCAUUAACUGACGCUGAGGAGCGAAAGCAUGGGGAGCGAACAGG